rnacentral:rRNA from 1 species
GUCAGCUCGUGUCGUGAGAUGUUGGGUUAAGUCCCGCAACGAGCGCAACCCUUGAUCUUAGUUGCCAGCAUUCAGUUGGGCACUCUAAGGUGACUGCCGGUGACAAACCGGAGGAAGGUGGGGACGACGUCAAAUCAUCAUGCCCCUUAUGACCUGGGCUACACACGUGCUACAAUGGGCAGAACAAAGGGCAGCGAAGCCGCGAGGCUAAGCCAAUCCCACAAAUCUGUUCUCAGUUCGGAUCGCAGUCUGCAACUCGACUGCGUGAAGCUGGAAUCGCUAGUAAUCGCGGAUCAGCAUGCCGCGGUAAAUACGUUCCCGGGCCUUGUACACACCGCCCGUCACACCACGAGAGUUUGUAACACCCGAAGUCGGUGAGGUAACCUUUUGGAGCCAGCCGCCGAAGGUGGGACAGAUGAUUGGGGUGAAGUCGUAACAAGGUAGCCGUAUCGGAAGGUGCGGCUGGAUCACCUC